GAUGAACGCUAGCGGGAGGCUUAACACAUGCAAGUCGAGGGGUAACAUGAGGUAGUAAUACUUUGAUGACGACCGGCGCACGGGUGAGUAACGCGUAUGUAACCUACCCUGUACAGGGGGAUAGCCCGGAGAAAUUCGGAUUAAUACCCCAUAAAGAUAUUUUGAGGCAUCUCAGAAUAUUUAAAGUUUCGACGGUACGGGAUGGGCAUGCGUAACAUUAGCUAGUUGGUAGGGUAACGGCCUACCAAGGCGACGAUGUUUAGGGGUCCUGAGAGGGUGAUCCCCCACACUGGUACUGAGACACGGACCAGACUCCUACGGGAGGCUG
rnacentral:rRNA from 1 species